UAAAGUGUAACAAGGUUUCCGUAGGUGAACCUGCGGAAGGAUCAUUAA
rnacentral:rRNA from 1 species